rnacentral:lncRNA from 1 species
AAUGAAUAAAUCACCAGGUAUUUAUAUUAUGCAAUAGGUAAGGUGUCUUUAAGAGACUUAACCUCACUUUGUGUAAAUAGUUUCCAUCAGAAGGAAUCGGAGUGAACCAGAUCUUGAACUAUGUUCCUUUGAUCCUGACUUCAACUACCACGCACAUGUCUGCCGCGAACGAACCGGUCCCGCCGUAGGUUGUUUCUAAGGCGAGUGGUCAUUCAUGGUAGAGGUUAAGUUUACUUAUGUUUUAUUUUGAAAUCAGGAUUAUAGGUUCAUAACUUCCAACAGACUCAAGAAUCUGUUGUUAAUUACCCCACACUUUCGGUGUUAAGGAACCCUCGAUUAAGAGACCAAAUAUAAAUGCUGAUAAAAAAAGAGACAAAAUAGGCAAAUAAAAUUUUAUUGAUAUGAUUAGCCAUUUACAUGGCUUAAGCAGGGGCAUACCCCCACUGUACAUGAAUAUUUCAAUUUAGCGAAUCGGUGGUCGAUAGAAGUUUAGAUUUAUUGAAUCGUAAGUAUAUGUAUUAGGAUUCAGUUGAAUUUGAGAUUGACUAGAUCCUAAGUAUAUUUGUUAAGACCUAAUCGAUCUUAGACUCUAUGUAUUAGAGUCUAAUUGGAUCUAAGUAUAUAUCUUAGAGUCCGAUUAU